rnacentral:antisense_RNA from 19 species
UGCCAUAGUGAGGGGAUUUAUUUAGGUGUUGGUUAUUUGUCACCUUUUUUAUUGUUGCGCGUUCGUAACCAAUGUGCAAAAAACGCAACAAGACAGC